rnacentral:sRNA from 1 species
AUAAAAACUGUGAUGAAGAGGAGUAUAUAAAUACUACCAAAAGAGAUGAAGACUCAUAGGCUGAAAAGUCUUCUUGGAAUAGAUUUGUAGAAGGUAGCUUCGGAGUUUCUAAGCUGAACUAACAGUAAGCUUAGACGGUGUGAAUCGUUAAAAUCUAUUGAGAGCCAUA